CAGGCCGCAAAAACUUCAAUCAAAUCAACUGCAUUCAUAUCAGUGAGGUGCUCACUGAUAUGAAUGCAGUUGAUUUGAUUGAAGUUUUUGCGGCCUG
rnacentral:pre_miRNA from 1 species